rnacentral:rRNA from 1 species
CCUACGGGUGGCUGCAGUAGGGAAUCUUCGGCAAUGGACGAAAGUCUGACCGAGCAACGCCGCGUGAGUGAAGAAGGUUUUCGGGUCGGAAAACUCUGUUGGUAGAGAAGUACGUUGGUGAGCGUGUAAAGCUCAUCAAGUGACGUUAACUACCGAGAAGGGGACGGCUAACUAGGUACCAGCAGCCGCGGUAAUACGUAGGUCCCGAGCGUUGUCCGGAUUUAUUGGUGGUAAAGCGAGCGGAGGGGGUUUAUUAAGUCUGGGGUAAAAGGCAGGGGCUAAACCAUUGUAUGCAUUGGAUACUGGUAGACUUGAGUGCAGGAGAGGAGAGUGGAAUUCCAUGUGUAGCGGUGAAAUGCGUAGAUAUAUGGAGGAACACCGGUUGCGAAAGCGGCUCUCUGGCCUGUAACUGACACUGAGGCUCGAAAGCGUGGGGAGCAAACAGGAUUAGAUACCCUUGUAGUC